AUGUUUUCGCGCUAAGCGGUGCGCAUGCGGCUCUAUCAAGUGUAUUCGCGAGUUGGGUUUUAGCUAUAUGUUAAGCUCGGCAGUGGGUCAUCUUGGUGGGGUUGUCGUGCGUCGUACGUGAUGCGCAUGAGUGGUGUUUGAGUUGUUUGGGAUGGUGGGCUCCAUGCUUUGAGCAUCGAACCGUCGUCUUGCGACUCUCUUCAUUGUUACCUCGCCCAUGGUGGGGGUGAUGAUUGGGUUCCUGUGUUGAAUACCCACUGAGGGGAAUUCUGAAGUUUGCCGUUAUUUUUCGCCUUGUGCUCGCUUUGGGUGCGUGGCGGACAAUUUGGCGUCGCUCGUGUCCCAGGCUCUCACAAAUAAACAGUGGGAGCUAUGGCCCUCGUGCGUCGCUUGUGCUCUUGGUUGCGGAAUGUGAUGUGGCCAAACAGGAUCUUGCAUCUUGUAAUAUUGGCCCGACCCUACGAAUCCUUUUCGAACGACUGCGCCAACCUCGAAUUGGCUCACCUGUAUCAUUGCUUUGCUUGCUUGGUUGGGUGGGUUGGUCGGGGUCGGAGCGUCGAAAGA
rnacentral:misc_RNA from 1 species